rnacentral:rRNA from 1 species
GUGAGGAAUAUUGGUCAAUGGCCGUAAGGCUGAACCAGCCAAGUCGCGUGAAGGAAGAAGGAUCUAUGGUUUGUAAACUUCUUUUAUAGGGGAAUAAAGGUAUCCACGUGUGGAUAUUUGCAUGUACCCUAUGAAUAAGCAUCGGCUAACUCCGUGCCAGCAGCCGCGGUAAUACGGAGGAUGCGAGCGUUAUCCGGAUUUAUUGGGUUUAAAGGGUGCGUAGGUUGUUUUUUAAGUCAGCGGUGAAAGUUUGUGGCUCAACCAUAAAAUUGCCGUUGAAACUGGAAGACUUGAGUGUGUUUGAGGUAGGCGGAAUGCGUGGUGUAGCGGUGAAAUGCAUAGAUAUCACGCAGAACUCCGAUUGCGAAGGCAGCUUACUAAGCCAUAACUGACACUGAAGCACGAAAGCGUGGGGAUCAAACAGGAUUAGAAACCCUAGUAGUCC